CAGUAGCCGCGGGAAUACGUAGGUGGCAAGCGUUGUCCGGAAUUAUUGGGCGUAAAGGGCUCGCAGGCGGUUUCUUAAGUCUGAUGUGAAAGCCCCCGGCUCAACCGGGGAGGGUCAUUGGGAACUGGGAAACUUGGGUGCAGAAGAGGAGAGUGGAAUUCCACGUGUAGCGGUGAAAUGCGUAGAGAUGUGGAGGAACACCAGUGGCGAAGGCGACUCCCUGGUCUGUAACUGACGCUGAGGAGCGAAAGCGUGGGGAGCGAACAGGAUUAGAUACCCCAGUAGUCCCUGUCUCUUAUAC
rnacentral:rRNA from 1 species